rnacentral:misc_RNA from 1 species
AACGCACAUUGCACCCUCUGGAAUUCCGGAGGGUAUGCCUGUUUGAGUAUCAUUAAUAUCUCAACACAGACAGGUUUAUUAUCUGUUCUGUUGCUUGGAUGUUGAAGGUUUGCUGGUGUCAAACUAGCUCCUUUGAAAUACAUUAGCCGAUACCAUGCAUCAAACUGGCUUCAGUAUGAUAAGGAUUUUUAUCUAUAUUACUGUUGCUAGUGAGCAAAAAUGGUUGUUUCAGCUUACAACUGGCCCCUAUGGGGCUGUCUCAUUUGAGGCAUAAUUUGGAAACUUGAUCUCAAAUCAGGUAGGAUUACCCGCUGAACUUAA